UUGGAGGGCAAGUCUGGUGCCAGCAGCCGCGGUAAUUCCAGCUCCAAUAGCGUAUAUUAAAGUUGUUGCAGUUAAAAAGCUCGUAGUUGAAUUUCGGAGUCAGUAGAUCGGUCAUGCCACUGGUAUGUACUGGUCUCACUGAUUCCUCCUUCCUGAUGAGCCGUAAUGCCAUUAAUUUGGUGUUGCGAGGAAUCUGGACUGUUACUUUGAAAAAAUUAGAGUGUUUAAAGCAGGCUAACGCUUGAAUACAUUAGCAUGGAAUAAUGAAAUAGGACGUUCGAUCUUAUUUUGUUGGUUUCUAAGAUUGACGUAAUGAUUAAUAGGGAUAGUUGGGGGCAUUAGUAUUCAAUUGUCAGAGGUGAAAUUCUUGGAUUUAUUGAAGACUAACUACUGCGAAAGCAUUUGCCAAGGAUGUUUUCAUUAAUCAAGAACGAAAGUUAGGGGAUCGAAGACGAUCAGAUACCGUCGUAGUCUUAACCAUAAACUAUGCCGACUAGGGAUCGGAUGAUGUUAAUUUUUUAAUGACUCAUUCGGCGCCUUACGGGAAAC
rnacentral:rRNA from 1 species